AUUGAACGCUGGCGGCAUGCCUUACACAUGCAAGUCGAACGGUAACGGGCCUUCGGGUGCCGCCGAGUGGCGCACGGGUGAGUAAUACAUCGGAACGUGCCCGAUCGUGGGGGAUAACGGGGCGAAAGCUUUGCUAAUACCGCAUACGAUCUACGGAUGAAAGCAGGGGACCGCAAGGCCUUGCGCGGACGGAGCGGCCGAUGGCAGAUUAGGUAGUUGGUGGGAUAAAAGCUUACCAAGCCGACGAUCUGUAGCUGGUCUGAGAGGAUGAUCAGCCACACUGGGACUGAGACACGGCCCAGACUCCUACGGGAGGCAGCAGUGGGGAAUUUUGGACAAUGGGCGCAAGCCUGAUCCAGCCAUGCCGCGUGCAGGAUGAAGGCCUUCGGGUUGUAAACUGCUUUUGUACGGAACGAAAAGCCUUCUUUUAAUACAGGAGGGUCAUGACGGUACCGUAAGAAUAAGCACCGGCUAACUACGUG
rnacentral:rRNA from 1 species